AUAUUUUGCUGGCAGGGGAGAUACUGUGAUCAUGAAGGUGGUUUUCCCAGGGCAAGGCUUAUCUGUUGCAUUCCAGAUGUGCUGACUGACCCCUGUGAUUCCCCAAAUGCGGGGGAGAAACUUGACUGCAUAAUUUGCGAUAGUGGAGGACUGUGUUCUUGCUCUCCCCUG
ensembl:snRNA U1 U1 spliceosomal RNA